rnacentral:rRNA from 1 species
UACGGAGGGUGCAAGCGUUAUCCGGAUUCACUGGGUUUAAAGGGUGCGUAGGCGGAAAGGGAAGUCCGUGGUGAAAUCCUGCAGCUUAACUGCAGAACUGCCGUGGAUACUCUCUAUCUUGAAUAUCGUGGAGGUUAGCGGAAUAUGUCAUGUAGCGGUGAAAAUGCUUAGAGAUGACAUAGAACACCCCAUUGCGAAGGCAGCUAACUACGCGAUCAUUGACGCUGAUGCACGAAAGCGUGGGGAUCAAACAGG